GAAUAACACUUUUUACUAUCCCAGCCAAUAACACAAUGACACGUGGGAUAACUUUUUCAUGUGUCAUUGUGUUAUUAACUGGGAAUAGCAAAACAGUGGUAUUC
rnacentral:pre_miRNA from 1 species